rnacentral:rRNA from 1 species
UCGUGAGAGUUUGGGCUUUAUUUUUUCGCUAAGCAUAGUUUAAGCUUAGUACCUUGUGCAUAAUGGCUACCCAAGACAAUAUAUCUAUUUAUUUUCCCGAAGUGGAGCGAGCUAUCACGCACCUGCGGGGAGCGCAUGACCUCUAUGUUGCAAGAUGGUGUCUAGAGUGUGCGAUAGUUGUUACAUGCUAGUCGCGCUCCAAGAUAGCUGGUUUUAAAAGAAACCCACCGAAGUGGGGCAAGCAUCCUAGAGAUAGACUUGUAUGGCUCAUCUUUAUGUGUAUUGUUAGCCCUAAGGGUAAGGCUUUUAUGGCAAUUUUGGGGGUAGAGUACCUCACGGUAGAUUAAGGAGUGUGGGUUUUUGGGAAUCUGCAAGUAGAAGUGGAGUUCUGACAAGAUUAAUUCAUAGAUCCAGGAAUCUGUCUGGUACAUCUAAUCUUAAUAUAUUUUUAAAUCUUAAGUGACUUGUGAGUAUUCGAAUUACACUGGAUAGAUGAGUAUUAUUACGAAUUAAACAACAGGAAAUAAUAAAAAACGGUAUUUUAUACCCUAUGUUGUAUCUUCUAAAUUUAAGUGAAUGCUAACUUUGUUCUAAGGAACUCGGCAAAUCUGCCUCCCACCUGUUUAUCAAAGACACCGCCGGUUGCAUCAUAUAAUUGGUUCUGUCUGCCCGGUGCCCACGUGGUAAACGGCGGCUUUAAUCGUCCUAAGGUAUCGCAACCAAGCCUCUUAAUUGGAGGCCAGAGAAUGGCCAGAUGAGGGGGCUACUGUCUCGGAAUUAAACGUAAAAUUUGAAUUGUAGGUGAACAUGCCUUUAUUGUUGCGCGGGACAAAAAGACCCUAUGAAGUCUUUACUCUUGGUUAAUUACUCCUAUAGCUAGGGUUGUAGGUGCUAUUAGUAAAUCUCAUAAGAGUUCUGCUUGGGGAAUGCAGUGAUAUAUAAGAAUCUCUUCUUGUCGGGGGAACCAGGUCCUAUGACGUUUUAGUACAUGGAACUUGUAUAAUCUUCAGAAUUACUAGUCAUGUCAACGAGCCAUAAUCUUCUGGAUUACUUGACUAAAGGAGCAGGGUUACUCUAGGGAUAACAGAGAUCGUCGCAUGAAUAGGACACAUUGAAGUGCGGGUAGAUUACCUCGAUGUUGGCUCCGGGUAACUGAACGGUAGCAGGAGCUGUUCGAGUGGGACUGUUCGUCCUUUAAUCCCCAACGUGAGCUGAGUUCAGACCGUUGUAAGGCAGGUUGGCUUCUAUCUGCGAGGCAGUCCCACAUUGUACGCAAGGACUCGUGGGGCGGAGCUGAUG